ensembl:lncRNA
UGGUGGUCCAGAGUCCUCUGUGUCUUUGUAGUGUGGAACCAGGUGGCUGUACAGAGAAGAGGCCAAAGGAGCAGGGGGAGGGGUUCAGUGGAUUGCUGCUGGGGCGCGGGCUGAUUCGGUGUUUUCAGCGUGACUGGGGACCUCAGGACUGGGUCCGCAGACCUGCCUGUCUGCAGUGGGCUGAUUCAGUGUUUUCAGUGCGACUCGCUCCAACUCUUAAUAGGAUGCUGGAAGAGAAUGAAGAAGGCUGUGAAGUCUGAGUCCCUCCUUAGGAGUGCUGAGUAAGAGUUUCAUGUGAGAAGAUGAGAUAACAGCUUCUAGUACCCGAAGGAGGAAAUUAGGACACAAGUGCACACAGGGGAAGACCACAUGAAGACACAGAGGUGAGAAGAAGCCGUCUGCAAGCCAAUGAGCGAGACCUUACAAGAAGCCAACCCUGCUGACAACAUGAAUCAGUCUAGAUUUGGAAUUGUGAAAAAUACAUUUCUGUUGUUUAAGCCCCUCAGUGUGUGGUACUUCUUAAUAGUAACCCUGGCUAACUAAUUCCUGGGACAGAAAAAUAAUUAAGGAAUAUGGCUAGGUUUUAACUUGAGAAGCUGAAUAUUUAGGGAUCUCAUUACCAGCAUGAGUAACACUGAGUAAGUGUAUUAGUCAGUUUUCCCAUUGCUGGACAAAAGUACCUGGCACUUGCAAUUUAAAGGAGGAAGUGGUUUAUUUAGCUCACAGUUUCAGAGGUUUCAGUCCAUGGCUGGCUGACUCCAAGGCAGAAACAUCGUGGCAGAAAAGCAUGGCACAGCAAAACUCCUCAAUUCUUCACUGCCUGGAAGCAGAGACAGGGGAACAGCUCCAGCAAAAGAAUUACCCUCCGGAGCCAUGCCCUCAGUGACCCACUUCCAACUUGGCCCAACCUCGUAAUAACAUAUUUACCUAGGAAUAUCAGUGGAUUAAGCCACUGAUCAGUACAGUGCCCCUUGGUCCAAACACCAUUCCUGUAGUUGAUAUAGGGGGAAGAGCUGUAACUCCCAAACCUACUAGAUAUCUGAAACAUGAGUUUGUGUUCUCUAAAAUCGAACAAUGAGUUCUAGGAACAAAGGAGGUUAAGAGUAGGAAAUUUUUUUUUUUUGGUACCGGGGAUCAACCUCGGGACCUUGCGCCUGCAAUGCAGGCAGCAGAACCACUGAGCUAAAUCCCCGGCCCAAGAGUAGGAAAAAUUUAUUGGGAGAAAGCUUCUUCCUAAGAGAGACAGAAGGGGGACCAGAAAGUGGGUUGCCUACCCACCCCACAUUUCAAAGAUGUUUUAUACAGCCAUGCCAUGUGGUGAGGCGGGUACAAAGUGGGACAAAACUAUAAGAUCCAGUGGAAAUUUACAAAGUGGGCAUGAGGUGGAACAAAACCAUGACCAACCAAUAAGAUUACAAGUACAGUCACCCAGGUAAUAUUGAUUAAAUGGGAUCAAAUGGGAAGACAAGUCACAUAAAAGGAAUUUCCCAUUUAGAAUAUCAACCACUGCUAGCUAUCUCUGGGGGAAGUAUUGGCUCUUCUUUUUAUAAUGGUAACCAGGGAAUGUGCCUCAAUUUUUCUCCAUGUUGUGUCCUUGCUGUGUUGGCUCCUGGAGGGCUGGUCCUGUCUAACUACACACAAGACAUCUAAUUAACUUACCUAUCUACAAUAGUCUCUUAGUCCAGUCAAGUUGGCAAUUAUGAUGAGAAAUGGAAAAAAUGGAAAUAAAGUCUUUGUAAAUAGGGAAGGGUGGAGAGCGUGAAGGGAGGGCUAGGAAUGGGGAAAAAAUAAGAACCAAGG